UGAGGAAUAUUGGUCAAUGGGCGCAAGCCUGAACCAGCCAUGCCGCGUGCAGGAUGAAGCAUCUAUGGUGUGUAAACUGCUUUUGUACGAGAAGAAACACUCCUACGUGUAGGAGCUUGACGGUAUCGUAAGAAUAAGGACCGGCUAACUCCGUGCCAGCAGCCGCGGUAAUACGGAGGGUCCAAGCGUUAUCCGGAAUCAUUGGGUUUAAAGGGUCCGUAGGCGGUUUUGUAAGUCAGUGGUGAAAGCCCAUCGCUCAACGGUGGAACGGCCAUUGAUACUGCAAGACUUGAAUUAUUGGGAAGUAACUAGAAUAUGUAGUGU
rnacentral:rRNA from 1 species